CAGUCGCCGCGGUAAUACGGAGGGUGCAAGCGUUAAUCGGAAUUACUGGGCGUAAAGCGCACGCAGGCGGUCUGUCAAGUCAGAUGUGAAAUCCCCGGGCUUAACCUGGGAACUGCAUUUGAAACUGGCAGGCUAGAGUCUUGUAGAGGGGGGUAGAAUUCCAGGUGUAGCGGUGAAAUGCGUAGAGAUCUGGAGGAAUACCGGUGGCGAAGGCGGCCCCCUGGACAAAGACUGACGCUCAGGUGCGAAAGCGUGGGGAGCAAACAGGAUUAGAUACCCCGGUAGUCCCUGUCUCUUAUAC
rnacentral:rRNA from 1 species